UGUGCAAAAUUGUCAUUAAAUCUAUAGCCUAGUUAGCAAGUAAUUUAUUUUUUUUUUAUUUUAAAACUGAAUGUAUGAUUUGUAUACGUACAUGUUCAAUUCAAGAAACACAAUUUUUUUUAAGUUUUAAAGCACAAAAAAGACGGAUUUCUACCUUGCAACCACCAGAUAUAUUCUAAUUGGCAAAGAUAAAAUAUGUUUCUUAUCUAUGUCCAAAUUUACUAUGCCAGAUAUUUCAUUUCAAGGUGUGUGGCUUUAAGGAAUGUUUUUUAAAUGGGUAUAUUACCAAGAUCUGCACAGCCAGGAUGAUAUUAACCUUCAGAAGUUAAAGCUUUCUGAGAAUUUUAAGGCUUGCCUUUUAUACUUGAAAUGAUAAAUCAUUAACAUGUUUUGUUCUUUAGGAACUUACAAACAUUUUCCACCCACCAUGUGGAUCAAGAUGUUUGGGCUGAUGAUUCUGGGUCGUAUGUGUGGACAAGGUGGUCUUCAUUACAUCAUGAUGCAGCUGUGUAUUCAACAACAUGUUAACCUGUCCCAGCGGAUGUUGAUGCUCUUAAAUGAUGUUGAGAAAAAUCCAGGACCGGAGUAUUCGUGCAAAUGGAUAUCCUGCAAGGAAGACUUCCACUCCAUAGGACAGAAAGAUGCACAUAUCAUCUCUCAUAUGGUUCAAGAGAAAUGCUGUAGAUGGGGAGACUGUACCAAAGUUCUGAGUUUGAAUAGUCUUGAAAUCCAUGCACUUAAACAUCUCUAUGAUGUGAGUUUAGCACUGUGUAUGAACUGAUGUUGCUUCAUUUUCUGCAUAUCUUUAUCUCAGUAUUCUCUAGUUUUGAUGGUCAGAUACAUAUUGUCUGCCAGUUUUUUCCCCCAAUACUGCCGCUCAUCGUUUGCUUGCAUCAAGAGUUUUAAAAGAAAUUAAAACUCAUUUGUUUAGUUAGAAUCUUAUGAAAGACUUAAAUGGCCAUGUUUAAUACAAUUGUAUAACAACAUAUACAAGCUAAAAAAAUAGUUGGAAUAAUUAAUGUAUAUAUGAACAUAACAAAUUUACUUAAAAUCAUAGGUCUUGUUUUUGUCUGCCAUUAAAAGAACCAGAACAUAUUUCGGACAUUCGAGGAUUGACUUGCUGUGUUAGAGGAUCAUCAGGUGAAGGAAGAAACCAGGCUUUUUUCGACUCAAUGUUGAUGAAACCUGAUCGACAUGCUCAUCUUGGUUGAGUAAGCCUGGGUUAAGUGUGUCCAAAAAGUAGGUAACCUGGUGAAAUUUAGGAAAACAUUGUAACAAGAUCCAGGUUUAUUUGACUGGCAGACCGAUGGACAGUGGGUCAACCGUAAAUCCCUUCAUGUGAAAACGGUAGGGACAAAAUAAAUAUCACAUUGCUCUUCUGAGUUCAUUUGUAAACCAAGUUUUAUCACAAAAUUAAAAUGGUCAAUGUAUUAUUUUGUGUAUUUAAAAAUUAUGUGAAUAUUAAGUUUCAUGAAAUCUUACUGAGUUUUCUCAAUUUUAGCGACUAUUCGGACCUGGACUGACAGACAAAUGGGCAACAUUGUCGCAAUUUGUAUACCAAGUUUUAUAAUAAUUGUUUCAUAAAAGUAACCAAUGUGUCUGUUCUAUGUCAAGGUAACUAGUAGGAUGAAAUACACAAAAAGAUCAUGGUUCACAAUAGGGUAGGCUCCGCGUGCCGUGAACCGGGCAACAGCUUUUGUCAUUUAACAUUUGUGUUAUAAUGGCAUAAGCUGGCAGAUACCCUUUAACUUUAACGAUGUUUACCGAUAAUUUCUCGGAAAAUACAAUCUAGCAAUUUUUAGUUAAUUUAGAUUACUAAAAAUUAAUAUUAUAUUUAUGCCCCCCUUGGAAGAAGAGGGGUAUAUUGUUUUGCACAUGUCAGUUGGUUGGUCCGUCCGUCCACCAGAUGGUUUCCUGAUGAUAACUCAAGAACGCUUUGGCCUAGGAUCAUGAAACUUCAUUGGUAAAUUGAUCAUGACUGGCAGAUGACCCCGAUUGAUUUUGAGGUCAAGGUCACAAAGACUCGAAAUAGUAAAAUGGUUUCCGGAUAAUAACUCAAGAACGAUAACGCCUAGGAUCAUGAAACUUCAUAGGUACAUUGAUGAUGACUCGCAGAUGACCUCUAUUGAUUUUCAGGUCACUAAGUCAAAGGUCAAGGUCACAGUGACUCGAAAUAGAAAAAUGGUUUCCGGAUGAUAACUCAUAAAUGCUUACGCCUAGGAUCAUAAAAUAAAAAAUUCAUAGCUAUAUUGAUCAUGACUGUCGAAUGGCCCCUAUUGAUUUUCAGGUCACUUGGUCAAAGGUCAAGAUCACAGUGAAUCAAAAUACUAAAAUGGUUUCUGGAAGAUAACUCAACAAUGCUUACGCCUAGGAUCAUGAAACUUCAUAGGAACAUUGAUCAUAACUGGCAGAUGACCUCUGUUGAUUUUCAGGUCACUAGGUCAAAGGUCAAGGUCACAGUGAAUCAAAAUAGUAAAAUGGUUUCCGGAUGAUAACUCAAGAAUGCUUAGGCCUAGCAUCCUGAAACUUCAUAGGUACAUUAAUCAUUACUGGCAGAUGACCCCUAUUGAUUCUCAGGUCACUAGGUCGAAGGUCACAGUGACUCAAAACAGUAAAAUGAUUUUUGGAUGAUUACUCAAGAAUGCUUACGCCUAGGAUCAUGAAACUUCAUAUGAACAUUGAUCAUGACUGGCAGAUGACUCCUAUUGAUUUUCCGGUCACUAGGUCAAAGGUCAAUGUCACAGUUACUCGAAACAGUAAAAUGGUUUCAUGAUGAUAACUCAAGAAUGCUUACGCCUAGAACCAUGAAACAUCAUACGUGCAUUGAUAAUGACUGGCAGAUGACCCCCUUCGUAGGUACAUUGAUAAUGACUGGCAGAAGACCCCUAUUGAUUUUCAGGUCACUAGGUCAAAGAUUAAGGUCAUAGUGACUCAAAACAGUUUAAUGGUUUCCUGUUGAUAGCUCAAGAAUACUUAGGUCUGUGAUAAUGAAACUUCUCAAGUACAUUGAUCAUGACUGGCAGAUGACCCCUAUUGAUUUUCAGGUCACUAGGUCAAAAGUCAAGUUCACAGUGACAAAAACGUAUUCACAAUGGCUGCCACUACAACUGACAGCCCAUAUGGGGGGCAUGCAUGUUUUACAAACAGCCCUUGUUCUGUGUUAAAAUUAUGUACACGUCUGCGUUAAAUAAAUAUGUUCCCAUUUGAAAUAAAGCUAAAAAUGUG